CCUGUGAACCUCACCGAAAGGAGUGUAGAAGAAGAGAUUACAGGCAACCUUGCCCCUGAUAAGUCUCAGUUGUAUUAAUUACCAAAGAAGAGGAAUAGCCUUGCCCUUAAUGGGUCACAGGUGUGACUAAUAAAGGUAAGUG